rnacentral:misc_RNA from 1 species
AAGUCGUAACAAGGUUUCCGUAGGUGAACCUGCGGAAGGAUCAUUAUCCUUUAGCUUAGUAUGCAAAUACUAAAAGCGCAUGCACCAAUGUGUUGCGUAAAAAUGCACAGCGGCCAUGCCUCGUCUUGGCCGCUAACCAAAUCCAUGCCUGCUCGGGCAUGGUCGGGUACCUACUAAGUACGCAAGUACACCAAGCGGCAGAUGCUAGUAUCUGCCGUGUGGCGUAAAGAUCAUUCGAAGCCCGUCGAAUGACGCCCGCUUAGCAAAAAAUCUUAUACCAAAUACAUCACACUUAUUAUGUUGUAUGUGUAAAGCACUAUCCGGUACUACUACUUGGAUAAUAACACAAAUACAACCCUAUGCGGUGGAUCAUUUGGCUC